UAAUAGUUUUAUUUAUAAUAUAAUUCAAAUUUUGAUUUAAAAUAUUCAGUAUAGCUAUUUAUAUAUGGGUAAAUAAAUGUUUUUUUUUUUGGGUGGGGUGCAGUUGAGGGGGGCUCGUGGCCCAGUAGAGCUUUACCCCUGAGACUAACAAGGGGAACAGUGGAGAUAAACUGGAAGACCUGGAGCUCGGCAAAGAGAUUUGUACGAAGCAUGUGGAAGAACAGGGAAACACACCUCAGUAAUCACAAGUGCAUCAUAAUAAAUUAGAGUGAUAGUCGGGUAUUUUCUUUGGAUGGACGGACGGACGAACGGAUAGAUAGUAUUGAACAAGCAGGUAGAGCUCUGUUGAUGUUUUCUUUGUCUUUUACAGAGUGGAGUAGAGAAUUUAGGGAAUCACAUCUCAGAAAUGAUAAGAAACUGCUGGUCAGGUAUCACCUACAGUAUCACCAAAAGAUGUUUAAGAGGAAGGGGGGCGGUGGUGGGCUUGAGCUGGGCUCAGACUAUAGGAGUUUUAAAAACCUAACCGAUAAUGAAAUCUGGUUGCUGUGAACACAUGAGGAGAAUCUUUGGCAAAUUUAUUAGCCCACCUCAAAUCUUAAAUAUGUGCAAAGUACAAAAUAUGAAAACUGCGCCACAGCACACAAGAUGUUAAGGUUAUCCUGACCGAUGGAGCACAUCACUCUCUUUGUCAAAAAUUACGCUUUUUUUUUUUUUUACUAAUAUUAGAUUAUUAAAUUAUGCGGUGGUUCGGUUCUGGGUUUUUCGGGGUCGACAGCUAUUCUUGACUCUUAAUUUUGGAGUCAGUAGAAUCGACUCAAGAAUCGACACCUUUUACAUUCACUUAAAAUAGCGCAAGGAUUAAACAUGCUGUAUCAUAUCUUUCUUUAUACAAGAAGUUCUCCUGUGGUCAGACAAAAUCAGCAUUUUAAAUCAUCUGCAGUCAAAAUAAAAUA